rnacentral:rRNA from 1 species
AUUGAACGCUGGCGGCAUGCCUUACACAUGCAAGUCGAACGGCAGCACGGGUGCUUGCACCUGGUGGCGAGUGGCGAACGGGUGAGUAAUACAUCGGAACAUGUCCUGUAGUGGGGGAUAGCCCGGCGAAAGCCGGAUUAAUACCGCAUACGAUCUACGGAUGAAAGCGGGGGACCUUCGGGCCUCGCGCUAUAGGGUUGGCCGAUGGCUGAUUAGCUAGUUGGUGGGGUAAAGGCCUACCAAGGCGACGAUCAGUAGCUGGUCUGAGAGGACGACCAGCCACACUGGGACUGAGACACGGCCCAGACUCCUACGGGAGGCAGCAGUGGGGAAUUUUGGACAAUGGGCGAAAGCCUGAUCCAGCAAUGCCGCGUGUGUGAAGAAGGCCUUCGGGUUGUAAAGCACUUUUGUCCGGAAAGAAAUCCUUGGCUCUAAUACAGUCGGGGGAUGACGGUACCGGAAGAAUAAGCACCGGCUAACACGUG